GCAAUCACUGAAAGGGAAAGUACAACUGACAUGAUUAUUUUUCCAUUAUAAUAUAUAAAUAAAAUAAAUGGAUACAAACAGGGAAGUGGAAGGUUUUCUAACACGUCGGAAGAUCUUUUAAACCAUUGUUGGAAACUGCAAUCGUGUAAAUAUAGAAAUAAGAAGAUGUUGUAUGAUUGCCAAUGAGACAACUCUACACCACAGUCAAUUUAUGAGGUCGACUUAACCAUAGCUGAGGUUAGGGUUUCCUUUAAACUGAUGGGGGAGCCGAGAUUAUCAGCCUCUUUCUUGACACUAUCCAUAGCUUCUCUGCUUUAUGUAAUUGGUUUUUCGACUCAUUCCUUCAUUAAGAUUGAGAAAAAGGAAGUCCACAUACACAGCGGGUUAUGGAAACGAUGUGUUUCAUAUGAUAAUAUAACAGUAUGUAUGGACAUAGAAAAUUAUGCGGAUAAAGAUUGGUUUAAAAUUUGUAGAGGUAUGAUAAUACUUGGAUUUAUUUCUAUCUUAUCAUCGACAGUUUGUGUUGCAUUGAGAUUGUUUAAGCUACCUGAAAAUAAAAUAUUACGAAUUUGUUCUAUCGUGGCUACUUUUUCGACUGUGGCGUUUAUUCUAACAGGACUGGUUCUAUAUGUAAAAAAUAAAGAUGACAUUACAGAUGGAGAAUUGUUCGAUUAUGGUUUCUCAUUUGCAUUAUGCAUACUUGGGAUGUGUUUUGCUGCUUUGGUAGGCAUCAUCCUGAUUUUUGACCUCGUAAUGACAAAAAAGAACAUUCAAAGUCGCGUUGGUGUUGAGAAAAAAUAAGAUAAGAACAGAAGACUAUUAGAAAAUAUUUAGACUUAGCAAGAGAAUUGUGAAAUUGACAGUGCUUCUUUAAUGCUUUAAUGCUUCUUUUUAGCGAAUACAGAUCUCACAUAAAAAACGUAUAAUUUAUACACUGGUAACUUCAAAUUUCUAUCUUUGUAUCUGUAUAGUUUUCGUUUGAGAAAAAACUAGCACCAAUGAAAGUAAUGAGAUAACUUAUAAAGAAUUUUUCAUAUUAA